rnacentral:rRNA from 1 species
GGUUUGGCUGGGCGGUCGACCGCAAGGUUUGCACUGCUCUGGUUGAGCUCCAUUGCUUGGGGAAUCCAGGUGCUCUUAAUUGAGUGCUUGGGGGAACCAGGACUUUUACUUUGAAGAAAUUAGAGUGUUUAAAGCAGGCAUACGCUUGAAUACAUUAGCAUGGAAUAAUAGAAUAGGACUUUGGUCUUAUUUUGUUGGUUUCUAGGACUGAAGUA